AUUGAACGCUGGCGGCAUGCCUUACACAUGCAAGUCGAACGGCAGCACGGGAGCAAUCCUGGUGGCGAGUGGCGAACGGGUGAGUAAAGUAUCGGAACGUGCCCAGUCGUGGGGGAUAACGUAGCGAAAGUUACGCUAAUACCGCAUACGAUCUAUGGAUGAAAGCGGGGGAUCGCAAGACCUCGCGCGAUUGGAGCGGCCGAUAUCAGAUUAGGUAGGUGGUGGGGUAAAGGCUCACCAAGCCGACGAUCUGUAGCUGGUAUGAGAGGACGACCAGCCACACUGGGACUGAGACACGGCCCAGACUCCUACGGGAGGCAGCAGUGGGGAAUUUUGGACAAUGGGCGAAAGCCUGAUCCAGCCAUGCCGCGUGCAGGAUGAAGGCCUUCGGGUUGUAAACUGCUUUUGUACGGAACGAAAAGGUUUGGGCUAAUAAGCUGAGCUCAUGACGGUACCGUAAGAAUAAGCACCGGCUAACUACGUGCCAGCCGCCGCCGUAA
rnacentral:rRNA from 1 species